UACGAAGGGGACUAGCGUUAGGCGGAAUCACUGGGCUUAAAGCGUGUGUAGGCGGAGUGCUAAGUACCUUGUGAAAUCCCACGGCUCAACCGUGGAACUGCUUGGUAUACUGGUUCUCUUGAGCCACCUAGGGGCAACCGGAACAAACGGUGGAGCGGUGAAAUGCGUAGAUAUCGUUUGGAACGCCAAUGGUGAAAACAGGUUGCUGGGGGUGUGCUGACGCUGAGACACGAAAGCCAGGGGAGCAAACGGG
rnacentral:rRNA from 1 species